GACGAACGCUGGCGGCGUGCUUAACACAUGCAAGUCGAACGGAAAGGCCCUGCUUUUGUGGGGUGCUCGAGUGGCGAACGGGUGAGUAACACGUGAGUAACCUGCCCUUGACUUUGGGAUAACUUCAGGAAACUGGGGCUAAUACCGGAUAGGAGCUCCUGCUGCAUGGUGGGGGUUGGAACGUUUCGGCGGGUGGGGAUGGACUCGCGGCUUAUCAGCUUGUUGGUUGGGUAGUGGCUUACCAAGGCUUUGACGGGUAGCCGGCCUGAGAGGGUGACCGGCCACAUUGGGACUGAGAUACGGCCCAGACUCCUACGGGAGGCAGCAGUGGGGAAUAUUGCACAAUGGGCGGAAGCCUGAUGCAGCGACGCCGCGUGCGGGAUGACGGCCUUCGGGUUGUAAACCGCUUUCGCCUGUGACGAAGCGUGAGUGACGGUAAUGGGUAAAGAAGCACCGGCUAACUACGUG
rnacentral:rRNA from 1 species